GAGAGCUGAGGCACGCACAGACAGAUAAGCAGACUGUUAAAAUCAUAUUGUCAAAGGUUACAAACGCUUUUGCCUUGGAGAAUAUUUGUCUUUUUACGGUGAUGUUGGAAAAAAGAAGACUUCAUUAAAGGACAAGAAAAGUCAA